AAAUUGUCAUUUUUAUAUCUCAAAGUUUUCAAAUGUCAAUAUAAAAAGUGUUAAAUUAGGAAUCUAAGUUUCUCAUCCCUCUAUUUAUCCUGGCACCUUCCUUCUGCCCAGUGCAUACACACAUAUCCUGAACUCUAGUCUUACCAAACUAGUAUUUCCAAUUUCUAUUUUGCAAAAAACUGUGAUAUAUAAAAAUGC